rnacentral:rRNA from 1 species
GACAGAGGGUGCAAACGUUGUUCGGAAUUACUGGGCGUAAAGCGCGUGUAGGCGGCUCUGCAAGUCGGGUGUGAAAUCCCAUGGCUCAACCAUGGAAGUGCAUUCGAAACUGCAGGGCUAGAGUCCUGGAGAGGAAGGUGGAAUGCUUGGUGGUAGAGGUGAAAUUCGUAGAUAGUCAAGCGGAACACCGGUGGCGAAGGCGGCCUU